UACGGGGGGGAGCAAGCGUUGUUCGGAUUUACUGGGCGUAAAGCGCGCGCAGGCGGUCCCUUAAGUCUGAUGUGAAAGCCCACGGCUCAACCGUGGAGGGUCAUUAGAAACUGGGGGACUUGAGUACAGAAGAGGAAAGCGGAAUUCCACGUGUAGCGGUGAAAUGCGUAGAUAUCUGGAGGAACACCGGUGGCGAAGGCGGCGUUCUGGACUGCAACUGACACUGAACAACGAAAGCCAGGGGAGCAAACGGG
rnacentral:rRNA from 1 species